rnacentral:rRNA from 1 species
CAGUCGAGCGAACAGAUAAGGAGCUUGCUCCUUUGACGUUAGCGGCGGACGGGUGAGUAACACGUGGGUAACCUACCUAUAAGACUGGAAUAACUCCGGGAAACCGGGGCUAAUGCCGGAUAACAUUUAGAACCGCAUGGUUCUAAAGUGAAAGAUGGUUUUGCUAUCACUUAUAGAUGGACCCGCGCCGUAUUAGCUAGUUGGUAAGGUAACGGCUUACCAAGGCAACGAUACGUAGCCGACCUGAGAGGGUGAUCGGCCACACUGGAACUGAGACACGGUCCAGACUCCUACGGGAGGCAGCAGUAGGGAAUCUUCCGCAAUGGGCGAAAGCCUGACGGAGCAACGCCGCGUGAGUGAUGAAGGUCUUCGGAUCGUAAAACUCUGUUAUUAGGGAAGAACAAAUGUGUAAGUAACUAUGCACGUCUUGACGGUACCUAAUCAGAAAGCCACGGCUAACUACGUGCCAGCAGCCGCGGUAAUACGUAGGUGGCAAGCGUUAUCCGGAAUUAUUGGGCGUAAAGCGCGCGUANGCGGUUUCUUAAGUCUGAUGUGAAAGCCCACGGCUCAACCGUGGAGGGUCAUUGGAAACUGGGAAACUUGAGUGCAGAAGAGGAAAGUGGAAUUCCAUGUGUAGCGGUGAAAUGCGCAGAGAUAUGGAGGAACACCAGUGGCGAAAGGCGACUUUCUGGUCUGUAACUGACGCUGAUGUGCGAAAGCGUGGGGAUCAAACAGGAUUAGAUACCCUGGUAGUCCACGCCGUAAAGAUG